AACGAACGCUGGCGGCAGGCUUAACACAUGCAAGUCGAGCGCCCCGCAAGGGGAGCGGCAGACGGGUGAGUAACGCGUGGGAACGUACCCUUUGCUACGGAAUAGCUCCGGGAAACUGGAAUUAAUACCGUAUGGGCCCUACGGGGGAAAGAUUUAUCGGCAAAGGAUCGGCCCGCGUUGGAUUAGCUAGUUGGUGGGGUAAUGGCCUACCAAGGCGACGAUCCAUAGCUGGUCUGAGAGGAUGAUCAGCCACAUUGGGACUGAGACACGGCCCAAACUCCUACGGGAGGCAGCAGUGGGGAAUAUUGGACAAUGGGCGCAAGCCUGAUCCAGCCACGCCGCGUGAGUGAUGAAGGCCUUAGGGUUGUAAAGCUCUUUCACCGGAGAAGAUAAUGACGGUAUCCGGAGAAGAAGCCCCGGCUAACUUCGUGCCAGCCGCCGCCGUAAAAC
rnacentral:rRNA from 1 species